GGGGGGUAUAGCUCAGUGGUAGAGCAUUUGA
rnacentral:piRNA from 2 species